rnacentral:rRNA from 1 species
UACGAAGGGGGCUAGCGUUGUUCGGAUUUACUGGGCGUAAAGCGCGUGUAGGCGGACUUGUAAGUUGGGGGUGAAAUCCCGAGGCUCAACCUCGGAACUGCCUCCAAAACUACAAGUCUGGAGCAAGAUAGAGGCAAGUGGAAUUGCGAGUGUAGAGGUGAAAUUCGUAGAUAUUCGCAGAAACACCAGUGGCGAAGGCGACUUGCUGGAUCUUUGCUGACGCUGAGACGCGAAAGCGUGGGGAGCAAACAGG